rnacentral:rRNA from 1 species
AGUGAACGCUGGCGGUAGGCCUAACACAUGCAAGUCGAACGGCAGCACAGUAAGAGCUUGCUCUUACGGGUGGCGAGUGGCGGACGGGUGAGGAAUACAUCGGAAUCUACUUUUUCGUGGGGGAUAACGUAGGGAAACUUACGCUAAUACCGCAUACGACCUACGGGUGAAAGCAGGGGAUCUUCGGACCUUGCGCGAUUGAAUGAGCCGAUGUCGGAUUAGCUAGUUGGCGGGGUAAAGGCCCACCAAGGCGACGAUCCGUAGCUGGUCUGAGAGGAUGGUCAGCCACACUGGAGCUGAGACACGGUCCAGACUCCUACGGGAGGCAACAGUGGGGAAUAUUGGACAAUGGGCGCAAGCCUGAUCCAGCCAUACCGCGUGGGUGAAGAAGGCCUUCGGGUUGUAAAGCCCUUUUGUUGGGAAAGAAAAGCAGCAGGUUAAUACCCCGCUGUUCUGACGGUACCCAAAGAAUAAGCACCGGCUAACUUCGUG